rnacentral:rRNA from 1 species
UACGUAGGGUGCUAGCGUUGUCCGGAAUCAUUGGGCGUAAAGCGCGUGUAGGCGGUCCGGUAAGUCCGCUGUGAAAGUCGGGGGCUCAACCCUCGGAUGCCGGUGGAUACUGUCGGGCUUGAGUACGGAAGAGGCGAGUGGAAUUCCUGGUGUAGCGGUGAAAUGCGCAGAUAUCAGGAGGAACACCGGUGGCGAAGGCGGAUCUCUGGGCCAUUACUGACGCUGAGGAGCGAAAGCGUGGGGAGCGAACAGG